CGGCACGCCUAACACAUGCAAGUCGAACGCAGUAGCAAUACUGAGUGGCAAACGGGUGAGUAUAAUGUGGGAAUCUGCCUUUUGGUUUGGAAUAACACGAGGAAACUUGUGCUAAUACCGAAUAAGCCCUUACGGGGAAAGUUUUAAUGCCGAAAGAUGAGCCCGCACUUGAUUAGCUAGUUGGUAAGGUAAAAGCUUACCAAGGCUACGAUCAAUAGCUGUUCUUAGAGGAAGACCAGCCACAUUGGGACUGAGACACGGCCCAGACUCCUACGGGAGGCAGCAGUGGGGAAUCUUGCACAAUGGGGGAAACCCUGAUGCAGCGAUGCCGCGUGAGUGAAGAAGGCCCUUGGGUUGUAAAACUCUUUCGUCGGGGAAGAAAAUGACUGUACCCGAAUAAGAAGGUCCGGCUAACUUCGUGCCAGCAGCCGCGGUAAUACGAAGGGACCUAGCGUAGUUCGGAAUUACUGGGCUUAAAGAGCUCGUAGGUGGUUAAAAAAGUUGAUGGUGAAAUCCCAAGGCUCAACCUUGGAACUGCCAUCAAAACUUUUUAGCUAGAGUGUGAUAGAGGUAAGUGGAAUUUCUAGUGUAGAGGUGAAAUUCGUAGAUAUUAGAAAGAACACCAAAUGCGAAGGCAACUUACUGGAUCACUACUGACACUGAGGAGCGAAAGCAUGGGUAGCGAAGAGGAUUAGAUACCCUCGUAGUCCAUGCCGUAAACGAUGUGUGCUAGACGUUGGAAAUAUAUUUUUCAGUGUCGCAGCGAAAGCAUUAAGCACACCGCCUGGGGAG
rnacentral:rRNA from 1 species